rnacentral:rRNA from 1 species
CCUACGGGUGGCAGCAGUGGGGAAUAUUGGUCAAUGGACGAGAGACUGAACCAGCCAAGUAGCGUGAAGGAUGACUGCCCUAUGGGUUGUAAACUUCUUUUAUAUGGGAAUAAAACGUUCCACGUGUGGGAUUUUGUAUGUACCAUAUGAAUAAGGAUCGGCUAACUCCGUGCCAGCAGCCGCGGUAAUACGGAGGAUCCGAGCGUUAUCCGGAUUUAUUGGGUUUAAAGGGAGCGUAGGUGGAUUGUUAAGUCAGUUGUGAAAGUUUGCGGCUCAACCGUAAAAUUGCAGUUGAAACUGGCAGUCUUGAGUACAGGAGAGGUGGGCGGAAUUCGUGGUGUAGCGGUGAAAUGCUUAGAUAUCGCGAAGAACUCCGAUUGCGAAGGCAGUUCACUGGACUGCAACUGACACUGAGGCUCGAAGGUGUGGGUAUCAAACAGGAUUAGAUACCCUUGUAGUC